rnacentral:rRNA from 1 species
GAUGAACGCUGGCGGCGUGCCUAAUACAUGCAAGUCGAGCGAACAGACGAGGAGCUUUCUCCUCUGACUUUAUCGGCGGACGGGUGAUUACCACGUGGUUAACCUACCUAUAAGACUGGGAUAAUUUCGGGAAACCGUAGCUAAUACCGGAUAAUAUAUUGAACUUCAUGGUUCAAUAGUGAAAGACGCUUUUUCUUUGACUUAUAGAUGGAUCCGCGCCGCAUUAGCUAGUUGGUAGGGUAACGGCUUACCAAGGCAACGAUGCGUAGCCGACCUGAGAGGGGGAUCGGCCACACUGGAACUGGGACACGGUCCAGACUCCUACGGGAGGCAGCAGUAGGGGAUCUUCCGCAAUGGGCGAAGUGUUGACGGAGCAACGCCGCGUGAGUGAUGAAGGUCUUCGGAUCGUAAAACUCUGUAAUUAGGGAAGAACAAAUGUGUAAGUAACUAUGCACGUCUUGACAGUACCUAAUCAGAAAGCCACGGCUAACUACGUG